UGCUGAUUGUUCAAAUAAAAGUACGCAGACAAUUGGGAGGAAGAAGGAGGAUGGGGUUGUGUUGACCAGGCUUGGAGUGGGGGGUAGCAAGCCAAGUCGUGAGGAAGAGAAAGCCCAGGCAGAGCGAACAACAAAUGUUAACGUUGGAGGUACGCCCGACACCGGUGUGCGUGGGGAGGGGUGCAAGCGUGCACGGGGGCUUGCAUUCCCGUGCAGGUUUGUGCAUGCCCUCUUUGGGACACCUGUGUCAUUGGCAGGCCCUGUGCAGCACUGGUGUCUCCCUCCCUCUCAUGAUUUUAAUGAGGCCUCACUCCAGCCAAGUGCCUGGAGACUCCGUGAGCAGGAAUGAGCUAUCCUCCUAGAUCCUGGAGACAUGAGGUCCCGCCCACAGGCAGCACUGACCUCCAAACACGUAAGUGAAUCCAUCUGCAACCAUCCUGACUGCGGCCACACCAGGGGUCCUAGGUCAGAGCCCAGUCCAAAUCACUGACGCCCAGUCCUGGGCGUCAGUGAAACGGUUCUUGUUUGAAGCCGCUGCGUUUGUUACACAUCAACGGAUAAUACCUGAUAAUACCAGCUUUUAAUUUCUGAAUCAACAUGUGGAACCGAGAGGUGUUUUGGGUGCCCAGUGACGCGUGGGGGUGGAGGCAGGACACAGGAUUCUCGGCUCUAGGAGCUGAUGGCCUCGUUGAGUCACGGGGAAAAUGAAGUCUCACACCGGAGUCAGAUCCCUCGCUGACAGCUCAAACCCAUCCUCCCUUCAUCAUGGGGAUCGCAUCGGGGCUCAGCAGCACGUGGCUACCCAGCUGCGCCUUGUUUCCUAGCCUCCUCUGCAUCAGGAUUUGUCACAUGACCGGGCUGUCUCCAAUGGGAUGUGGGAGGGAGUGGUGGAGGCCACGCGCGGGCCAGAGCCUGUAAGGACAGUGGGGCUGUUUUUCCUCCCUACGGGAAUAAAAGGAGCCAGUCUCUGCUUUUCGGUGACGAGAGCCGCUCACCACCCUAGCCAGGAUCGUUGAGAAAGUUCUAAUCCUCUCAUUUAUGCUUUGCGUUCUCUGUUGUAGGAGGUUAGCUUUAUCCUGUUUCCUACUGCCAGCCUCUCCUGCAAGGCAGCCCGUGUCUUAUGUCCAGACCAGAAGCUGGG
rnacentral:lncRNA from 1 species